CAACAACCUAAACCCUAAUCCCAAUCCUAAACUGAGUAUUAAAACUCAGUGGUGAACCAAAUAUCCUGCCAAUCCUGUCUAUGGACCGGGCCCCCUAUUCUGGCCAUAGAUGGCCACUCUCUCAACCUUAGCCUCACACAGAACCCUAAGUCAGAUGACAGUCAGCCCUUUGUGUGGCCAGGGAGUGACCACUAUGAUGGAGAACCAGUCAUCUCACAAUGACCCCACAAGGGCACAGAGGAGAGGACAGGUGGGAGGUCAGUGCAGGUCUGUUCCACAAGGUGCCUCAACUCAUUGUACACGUCUUUCCAAGGAUAGAUGCAUCAAGUGAGAUCCAGAGAUGCGGAGUGAAUGUGAGCUUCACACUAGCAGAGGCAGGCCUAGAACUCAAGACUCCUGAUUCCCAGUUCAGCGUUCCCUCCACUGAAUGCAAAAUGAUGUGUUCUUUCUAAGAACACACGUCCUAGAGGCCUCACUAACUGAAGAGAGCUUUAGAGGAACAUCCCAAGAAGCCGCUGUUGAAUUAUCAUCCCCAAGUGUGGCCAAAUUAUACAGUAUGAGAAAGUCAAAACUUUCAAAGAGCUGACAUAGGACACAGAGCAAGAAGGCUGUGGGGCAGAAAGAACAUGGAAUUUCCUUAGGACACCAAAAAAUGGCAUGCAGCAUCUUUGGGUCAGGAGUUCAGGUGUGGUUUAGCCAAAUCUUCCAACUCACAACUCUGCGAUCAAUCAAGGUCAACAGACAGUGACUGCAGUUAUCCAAAGGUUCAACCAAGACAGGAUCAGCUCCCAAACUCAUUCACGUGUACAUGUAUAAAUCACUCCAUUGGAUUCUACUGUCUUGUAAAAAUAAAAACGAUCCCCAAAUGUUCAAGAAUUACUCAGGGACUAUUCAGUGUUCAAUAUGUCAAAGCAGCCAAGACAGACAGUCAGGAAGAAGAUUAGAAUCAAUGAAGAAAAAUCCAUCCCGGGCACAAGUUGUCCUGCUGCCAGCACUGUCGGGGAAAGGCCUGCUCGCUCGGCACUCUCAUUACUGGGAGAAAAAGUCUUCAAGCAUGAGACCAAGGAGGAGGCCACAAUCCCUGCUGCCUGAGUUCUUCGGACAAAUCCACAGUCUAUUUUGUCAAAAUGGAUACUCCCAUGGAGUGGCCGUCUGCUGCGUGGUUUUAAAGAGCUCCUCUACGUCUCUGCUGCCUCCAGAGAGGGAUCAGUCACCUGGGCCCCAACAGGAGCUCAGCCAUUACUCAAAAAACUGGAAUGCUAAGAUUUCCACUUAUUCCCUGCUGACUACCAGCAUCAGAGGCUCUCUGCCUGGGGCAGGCUUUCUGCUCACUUCUGCUCCCCUUCCCCUCCUUCCAUCCAGGGUUGGAUAUCAUCCAGUCCCCUCCUAUCCCAUUCAAGCUCCUUCCACAACAAGAGGAACAUUAGAAGGUUAACAUCUGCCUGGAUUUUAAGGAAGAAAACUUGCCCAGGUGUUGAUAGAGUUGAUAAUAAUAGAUUAAAGUUGUAAAAAUGGGAUAGAUGAGCACACUGCAAGCUGAUAUUGCAUGAGCACCUUCUGUGGGCAUGGCCCUGUGCCAGGCUGCACAUGUGCAAAAGCAGCCUCUGGAAGCUAUAUGGUGGCUACAAAGGGUGAAGGCAGGAAAGAAGAGAGCUAAAGCAAUUGGGGCAGAAAUUGGAGAAAGCUAGGGAUAGACUGUUCCUAAUGCAUGCUAGGCACACAACGGCAAAAGGAAUCUCAGCCUUAGCAUCUGCCUGAUGCUGAGAUUUUCUGGAAGGGAAGUAAACUUAUUUCUUCUGGAUGGAUGACAGGGACUGCCUGACCCUCCACCCCCAAUCAAAGACUCCCCAAACUCCUUAGAGAUGAGUGACAAGGGACAUGUAUCAAGUCAGCUUCCUCAUUAGCAGAUCAGAAAUGUAAGUCCCAGAGAAGAUAAUAAACUAGCCUAAAAUCAUGCAUUCAGGUGGCCACCGGCUAAAAGUGACUUCCACGACUGGGAGCCAUGUCUAUGGGUUUCCAUUCCUAGGCUCUUUCCCCACACAACUUACCUUAAGUGGGGAUGAUACAGGCAAUGGGUUGAUCCUUCCUACUGAAAGCUACAUGUCGAAUACAGUUUCCAUCAGCCUGAAAAAUAGAACCAGGGUGGCUGCAAGACUUAGCCAAGAGACCCCAUGGCAUGUUAUUGAAAUACAAGGUUUUUAACAGAGACCUCCACAAUUAUGUCUCAGGAAGUCACACCAAUACCUAUUAUGGUUUUGAGAAUGUGACUUGCAGCUUUGCCCCGGUUUCCACAUUUUAAAAUAAGACAAACUACUGCUCUUACAAAGAUGUUCAGUGACCAAAUUAAUGAUUAAUUAUGAGUACACAGAAUUUCAUGGAGAUUACUCUUCAGUUUGACAUUAUUACUUUCAAU